rnacentral:tRNA from 1 species
GUGGCUAUAGCUCAAUGGCAGAGCGCCUCACUGUGGCUGAGGAUGUUGAGGGUUCGAGCCCCUUUAGCCACCCCA